rnacentral:rRNA from 1 species
ACUGCUCAGUAACACGUGGCUAAUCUGCCCUUAGGACGAGAACAACCCCGGGAAACUGGGGCUAAUUCUUGAUAGGUGAAGAACUCUGGAAUGAGUCUUUGCCUAAAUGGAUUCACGUUAUCCUCGUGAACCUGCCUAAGGAUGAGGCCGCGACCGAUCAGGUUGUUGGCGAGGUAAUGGCUCACCAAGCCUUUUACCGGUGCGGGCCGUGGGAGCGGGAGCCCGGAGAUGGGUACUGAGACAAGGACCCAGGCCCUACGGGGCGCAGCAGUCGCGAAACCUUUGCAAUACACGAAAGUGUGACAGGGCUAUCCCGAGUGCCAUCCGCUGAGGAAGGCUUUUACCCAGUCUAGAACGCUGGGGGAAUAAGGAGAGGGCAAGUCUGGUGUCAGCCGCCGCGGUAAUACCAGCUCUCCGAGUGGUGUGGAUGUUUAUUGGGCCUAAAGCAUCCGUAGCUGGCUAGGUAAGUCCCUUGUUAAAUCCACCGAAUUAAUCGUUGGAUCGCGGGGGAUACUACUUGGCUAGGGGACGAGAGAGGCAGACGGUAUUUUCGGGGUAGGGGUGAAAUCCUAUAAUCCCGGGAAGACCACCAGUGGCGAAGGCUGUCUGCUAGAACGCGCCCGACGGUGAGGGAUGAAAGCUGGGGGAGCGAACCGGAUUAGAUACCCGGGUAGUCCCAGCUGUAAACGAUGCAGACUAGGUGUUUGGACGGCCACGUGCCGUUCUAGUGCCGCAGGGAAGCUGUUAAGUCUGCCGCCUGGGGAGUACGAUCGCAAGAUUGAAACUUAAAGGAAUUGGCGGGGGAGCAC